CACCGUGAGGGGAAUCCGAAGGAAGCCGUCGGCAAAUCCUCGGUCUGACGAACAGAAACCGGAUAUAAGGCAUGACGUAUGUGGGCGAGACUGCAUGUCAAGUCGAAGCCCUAAACUAUCCGGACAUACGUAUUGUAAAUCCGGCAGAUAUAUGAGGAGAAAGUUGU
rnacentral:ncRNA from 1 species